AUGUAGGGGUACCGGAGAACCGGUUGAGAUGCAUGCGACAUGCAGACCCUUUGAACCUGAUCUGGGUAACGCCAGCGGAGGGAACAUAUUCAU
rnacentral:ncRNA from 1 species